CACUCAUUACUCUGCCUCAGUGUGAACAAGACCCUGAAAUGCUAUUGUGCAUAACCACAGGCUAACUAAACAUUAUCACUCAGAUGUCAGUAAGUAUGAUUCAGUAUUCUGUAUUCUCCCAGGAUUUUAUUGAACAAUACAUUAUGUGUUUCACUGUGAUGUCUCCUCAGAUAAUGUGGCAUCGUGUCCUCCUCCAUGUCAGAGACCAGCACCGCUGCUCUUUUGGAAGCUGUGUCAUGGGCCACUUGAUGAGAGCAGCAGAGAUAAGCCAUGGAUGGUGUGAGGCUCUCCAUCACAUCAGGCUCGUGCAUCCAUCAUCCCUGAUAAACGCUGACUGAAGGAUGUGAAGAAGUUUACAAACUUUCACACAGCACAACACCUGACCUGGAAUCCUUUCAGAACCACAUCCUCUUGUAUGCUGCAAAAUGCUUUUCAUUCAGCUCACCAGUGUAUGAGGCGCAGACUCCUCUGGCACCACACCCACAGGCCUGCAGCCCUGACUCUGAUGGUAACAAUAAAGGAAUACUUGGAAGACAGUUGAAAUAUGAGAAGAGACUUCCCAAAACAAGAACACUAAGACCUGAUGACCAAAGGAGACUUGAACAUCUUCCUGGGAUUCCUCCACCACCUACAACAGAACUAGCACAAGCAUGCAUCCAAUGCAGAGAAGUUUGUACACAUGUAGGCAUAUUUUUCUAGCAUCACUUACAUGACAAAAAGAAUAAAUAUUAUAUAUCUGAUAUCUGCAGCAUAGUCUGAAUAUUGAUAAAGCAGCUUGGCUGAUCAUAAAAGAAUCGCUGUUGUUCAUCACACACAGCACAGUUUUACUUUUAGAGUAAAAUGUGACACAUGUAGUCACUCUCAGCUUCCUGUUGUUCCUCUUCUAACCAUCACUAUAUCUUCUUUCACUCUUACAGAACCUGCCUGUAUGAAAAGUGUAAAGUUGUAUCAUCAUACACCGUGUAACAGAUAUGUAAAUAUUGUG